GUGCGUAACGCGUAUACAAUCUGCCUUUCACUGGGGGAUAGCCCGAAGAAAUUUGGAUUAAUACCCCAUAGYAUAGUAGUGUGGCAUCACACAACUAUUAAAGCYUWGGUGGUGAAAGAUGAGUAUGCGUUCUAUUAGCUAGUUGGAGAGGUAACGGCUCCCCAAGGCGAUGAUAGAUAGGGGUUCUGAGAGGGAUGUCCCCCACACUGGUACUGAGAUACGGACCAGACUCCUACGGGAGGCAGCAGUGAGGAAUAUUGGACAAUGGUCGGAAGACUGAUCCAGCCAUGCCGCGUGCAGGAUGAAGGUCUUAUGGAUUGUAAACUGCU
rnacentral:rRNA from 1 species